GCCGCGGUAGCUCAGUGGCAGAGCGCUGCCCUGAAGAGGCAGGCGUCGGGUGUUCGAUUCACCCCCGCGGCACCA
rnacentral:tRNA from 1 species